UACAGUUUGUGUUUCAGGAUUUUGUGUUAAUAUUGUGUAUUUUAACUUUGUUAUAUUAUUUAUUAUCUACUAUUGUAAUGAUGGAAUUUGUUAUCGUUUUGAUAUUUUGUGUGGUUCUUGUGAUUGCUGUAAUGGUAAUUGGUUCCGGGAUGGGGAAAGCUACUUCUUCGCAGCGUCAGAUGGACAUCAUUAACGUCGCUCAGAACUUAUAUGUUUUAAUUAGGAAAGGCGACUUGAAGAAAUGUGACGUUACGCAGACGACCGCGUUUCUUCUCAACAUCGCAAAGUCAACUGUUCUCAAGUACUACAAGAAAGACAUUGAAGAAGUUUCAACACCAGGAAAAAAGAGGAAAAAAAAGGCCACAGGAAGGAAAGUCACUUGACACAGUCGACGAUUUCACAGUAAAUGCAAUCAGGAAUGCAAUUUACAGGAUGUACGCUGAAGGUUUGAAUGUUACAGUCGACACCAUUUUGAAAGAAAUCAGGGAAAGACAAAUAGAUUAUUAUGGUGGAAGAUCAAGUCUUCAUAAAUUGUUAAAGAAGAUGGGAUUUUCAUGGACAACUGUUGAUGGACGAAAAGCUUUGAUAGAGAAUGAAAACAUAGUAUUGAAGCGAAUAGAUUUCUUGAGAAAGUAUAAAGAAGAAAAAGAAUGAGGUGCCAAUUUCAUAUUUGUUGAUGAAACAUGGAUUUUCCAGAGAGGCAAGGCAUUAAUUUAUUUGAAAAUUUGUUCUGUGGUCCAAUACAAAGUAUUUCAUUUCCAUUUCAUAUAUUUUUCAGGAACUGUAUCAAAGUCAUGGCAGGACAAGAGUCUACAAUCUGCGAAGAGACGUACUGUUGGAGAUGGUAAAAGGUUUAUUGUUGUUAAUGCUGGAGGGCGCACUGGCUUUGUGCCAGGAGCAGGAUUACUUUUUGUUUCAGGUCAGAAGACUGCAGACUACCAUGGCGAGAUGAAUGGGGAAACUUUCUUGAUGUGGUUUGAAGACAUGUUGGUGCAUCUUGAGGAACCCAGUGUCAUCAUAAUGGACAAUGCUUCAUAUCACAGCACCCAGAUGGGCGAGGUGUGUGGAUCACGUGGAGAAGCUAAUUCAAGCAGACUGGGAGAGAGAAGUCCACAUAGACAGCGGCACCAUUCCUCCACUCAUCAUCCACCUCGGCGAGGAUAGUUCAAGUGAAGACAGUGACAGCGAAGAAUUUGAGGUUACGACACAGCAAGUAGAUGGAGACAGUGAAGUACUGGCAGUUCCUCUUGAUGAUUUACCUGGGUGUUCUUAUUGAGGUCUGUAUGUAAUAAACACCUGGGCAACUGUAAGUAUUGGGGUUUAAAUCAUUUUUUUUUCU